AAAGUUAUACACAGGGAAGAAAGCUACUCCGAGAUAUCACUGUAGGGAAGGUUGAUGCGGGCUGUUUUAGCGAUGGAACAACAUGUUGGGGGUGUGUUAUACAAAACCAAUAUGAAGUUAUUCCUCUAUUAGCCUGUCGCGAGGAGGAUAUCAGCUCUGACCCGCUAAUGGCUGAGCCUUUGGGCGUAUUGCAGCUGGCCAUUUCUCGACAAUUGAAGAAGGUAAUCAUACAAAUGGAUGCACAGGUUGUUGUAAAAUGUAUUGACAAUAAGCAAGUGAUAGCUGCUAUUAACCAUGUUAUUUUAGAUUGUAAGGAGCUUAUUAGGUUAGAUUAUACUAAUGUAAUGUUUAUCAGUAGAACUUUAAAUGUUAUAGCUCAUGAACUUGUUGGAAGAGCUAGCUAAAGUUGUUGUCUCCAAGACCUGGUUGGGAUGUCCCUCCAUUUGGUCAUACAUCUUGUAACCUUGUUCCAAUUUCUAUCUGAAUGAACAGGUGGAAUUUCAAAAAGAAAAGUUUAAACCUUA